CCUGACGUCAAGGCGGUUGUGAUGUGGUGACACCAUGAGCAUAUCACAGCCAGCUUUGAUGACAGGGA
rnacentral:pre_miRNA from 13 species